rnacentral:rRNA from 1 species
CGCUGGCGGCGUGCCUAAUACAUGCAAGUCAACUUGCUCCAAUUUAGCAAUAAGUUGGAGUUGGUGGCGAACGGGUGAGUAACACGUAGGUAAUCUACCUUCAGGACUGAACUAACUUCGAGAAAUCGGAGCUAAUGUCAGAUGAUGCAAUUAACUGGCAUCAGUUAGUUGUUAAAGCUACGGCGCCUGAAGAUGAGCCUGCGUCCCAUUAGGUAGUUGGUGAGAUAAAAGCUCACCAAGCCAACGAUGGGUAGCUGGUCUGAGAGGAUGAUCAGCCACACUGGAACUGAGACACGGUCCAGA